ACAGAGAGCUUGCUCUCGGGUGACGAGCGGCGGACGGGUGAGUAAUGUCUGGGAAACUGCCUGAUGGAGGGGGAUAACUACUGGAAACGGUAGCUAAUACCGCAUAAUGUCGCAAGACCAAAGUGGGGGACCUUCGGGCCUCAUGCCAUCAGAUGUGCCCAGAUGGGAUUAGCUAGUAGGUGGGGUAACGGCUCACCUAGGCGACGAUCCCUAGCUGGUCUGAGAGGAUGACCAGCCACACUGGAACUGAGACACGGUCCAGACUCCUACGGGAGGCAGCAGUGGGGAAUAUUGCACAAUGGGCGCAAGCCUGAUGCAGCCAUGCCGCGUGUGUGAAGAAGGCCUUCGGGUUGUAAAGCACUUUCAGCGGGGAGGAAGGCGGUGAGGUUAAUAACCUCGUCGAUUGACGUUACCCGCAGAAGAAGCACCGGCUAACUCCGUGCCAGCAGCCGCGGUAAUACGGAGGGUGCAAGCGUUAAUCGGAAUUACUGGGCGUAAAGCGCACGCAGGCGGUCUGUCAAGUCGGAUGUGAAAUCCCCGGGCUCAACCUGGGAACUGCAUUCGAAACUGGCAGGCUAGAGUCUUGUAGAGGGGGGUAGAAUUCCAGGUGUAGCGGUGAAAUGCGUAGAGAUCUGGAGGAAUACCGGUGGCGAAGGCGGCCCCCUGGACAAAGACUGACGCUCAGGUGCGAAAGCGUGNGGAGCAAACAGGAUUAGAUACCCUGGUAGUCCACGCCGUAAACGAUGUCGAUUUGGAGGUUGUGCCCUUGAGGCGUGGCUUCCGGAGCUAACGCGUUAAAUCGACCGCCUGGGGAGUACGGCC
rnacentral:rRNA from 1 species